UUCAGUGAAUUUUUUUUUUGGUAAUGAAUAUGUGUUGUGCAGAGAGAGUUGGAGAGAGAUCUAUGGGAGACCCUUCACUACUGUCAAACCAGUCCCCUCUAAUACUGAUGAAGAGAUUACUGUAUUAAUUGUUAAUCUAACACAACCGGAUGAAGCAUGGAGUCGAAUAUUAUGUAUAUGAGAUUGUUCUGUUGAAGGAUGGGAGGGAGGAAGGUGCUAAGCAAAUACUACUCACCUGUCCAACCUAGAGGCUUGAGGGGUCAAGCACACAUGAUGCUUCCCAUAAGUAGAUGUUAUUGGUGACAAUUAUUUAGGUAUUCGAAGGUUCUGAUUCUACUGCAAAUGUACAGAUGCUUUGCUGAGCUUACCAUCAAGACUGACCCACAAAAUUUCAACUAUAUUGUUGAGUCUGGUGCUACCAGAAAUUUUGAACCUGUGUGAAGAUGAUGAGGCAGCAGAGACAAUAACCAUAAAAGAGAAGUUGGAGAGAUGGAAGAUGCAAUGAAAUCUUUAGAGAACAAAAACCUUGGAUUUGGAAAGAAAAAUGGACAUCAUUACUACACUGGAUGGGAUGAAAUCUAUGAAGUUCUUUUUUUUGUAUUUCAUGGACUUAAUCGGCAGACAAGGUACCCCCACAUGGUACUACUCUUUCUUAUCAAUUUUCAGCUUCAAUCUUCUUGGGUUUAAUCCUUAUUCAAAUAUGUUAAAACUUUUAAGGUUUUUGUUUUAAUUGGUGGUAGUUGAGAAUUGAGUAAGGAUCUUGCAAAAUAUGCGAAAGUGUUAGAAGUAGGGGCUAAUGGAUUG